rnacentral:rRNA from 1 species
GCCGAAUGUCCAAGGGUUCCUGGGGAAGGUUCAUCCGCCCAGGGUAAGUCGGGACCUAAGGCGAGGCCGAGAGGCGUAGUCGAUGGACAACAGGUUGAUAUUCCUGUACCGGUUCCACACCGCCCACAGCCGAACCCAGUCUGCUAAGGGAACCCCUUCGGGGGCUACCGACCCGGCUGGUAGUAGGCUAGCGAUGGGGUGACGCAGGAGGGUAUGGCAUCCCCGGCGAUGGUUGUCCGGGGGUAAGUGUGUAGGCCGCGACCUAGGCAAAUCCGGGUCGCACACGGCUGAGGCACGACGCCGACACGUGAAGUGGAAGUGCCAAAUCCCAUGCUGCCGAGAAAAGCCUCUAGCGAGGUGUGGAGCCGCCCGUACCCCAAACCGACUCAGGUGGACAGGUAGAGAAUACCGAGGCGAUCGAGCGAACCCUGGUUAAGGAACUCGGCAAAUUGGCCCCGUAACUUCGGGAGAAGGGGUGCCCCUCGCGGUGUAGGACCUCGCGUCCGAAGCUGCAGGGGGCCGCAGUGACCAGGCCCAAGCGACUGUUUACUAAAAACACAGGUCCAUGCGAAGUCGUAAGACGAUGUAUAUGGACUGACGCCUGCCCGGUGCUGGAACGUUACGUGGAGGGGUUAGCCUCCGGGCGAAGCCCCGAAACUAAGCGCCAGUAAACGGCGGCCGUAACUAUAACGGUCCUAAGGUAGCGAAAUUCCUUGUCGGGUAAGUUCCGACCUGCACGAAUGGCGUAACGACUUGGGCGCUGUCUCAACCAUGAGCUCGGUGAAAUUGUAGUCACGGUGAAGAUGCCGUGUACCCGUCACGGGACGGAAAGACCCCAUGAACCUUUACUAUAGCUUCGCAUUGACAUUGGGUAGAUGAUGUGUAGGAUAGGUGGGAGGCAAUGAUCCGCAGCCGCCAGGUUGCGGGGAGCCGCCGGUGAAAUACCACCCUUUAUCUAUCUGAUGUCUAACCCCGGGAACGGGGGACAGUGCGUGGUGGGUAGUUUGACUGGGGUGGUCGCCUCCGAAAGUGUAUCGGAGGCUUUCAAAGGUACCCUCAGCACGCUUGGUAACCGUGCGUGGAGUGCAAUAGCAUAAGGGUGCUUGACUGUGAGACAGACGUGUCGAUCAGGGACGAAAGUCGGAUAUAGUGAUCCGGUGGUUCUGCAUGGAAGGGCCAUCGCUCAAAGGAUAAAAGGUACUCUGGGGAUAACAGGCUGAUCUCCCCCAAGAGCUCACAUCGACGGGGAGGUUUGGCACCUCGAUGUCGGCUCGUCACAUCCUGG